rnacentral:tRNA from 1 species
GGGCCUGUAGCUCAGUUGAAGAGAGCGGCCGGCUUCUAACCGGCGGCGCGCAGGUUUGAGUCCUGUCAGGCCCGCCA